GAUGAACGCUGGCGGCGUGCCUAAUACAUGCAAGUCGAGCGAACGGACGAGAAGCUUGCUUCUCUGAUGUUAGCGGCGGACGGGGGAGUAACACGUGGAUAACCUACCUAUAAGACUGGGAUAACUUCGGGAAACCGGAGCUAAUACCGGAGGAUAUUUUGAACCGCAUGGUUCAAAAGUGAAAGACGGUCUUUCUGUCACUUAUAGAUGGAUCCGCGCUGCAUUAGCUAGUUGGUAAGGUAACGGCUUACCAAGGCAACGAUGCAUAGCCGACCUGAGAGGGUGGUCGGCCACACUGGAACUGAGACACGGUCCAGACUCCUACGGGAGGCAGCAGUAGGGAAUCUUCCGCAAUGGGCGAAAGCCUGACGGAGCAACGCCGCGUGAGUGAUGAAGGUCUUCGGAUCGUAAAACUCUGUUAUUAGGGAAGAACAUAUGUGUAAGUAACUGUGCACAUCUUGACGGUACCUAAUCAGAAAGCCACGGCUAACUACGUG
rnacentral:rRNA from 1 species